CACAGUGUUUACAGCUUCUUAGAGAUUCACCUGCCUCCACGUGCGUUUGGCCUUUACUUUCUGUCCACCAUUUUCUUUUGUGAGAUCCUUCACUUAGUCCCCAAAUCUGCCCGAUGCUUGAUCUGCUGGAACCCUAAAAUGGGGACAGGGAAGGACCUUCCUUCUCCAAGGAAUUUUUCCUAUUUCCAAGGAAACAGGGAUGUAAACAUAAAACACAGCAGCUCAGUGAUGGGCACCCGAUGCUGUCUGCUCUGCAGAGACUCCUGAGGCCAGCAACACCCACCUUUCUUCAUUGUUGGUUCCUUACUGUACUGGGCUAGAGGAAGGUCAGACCUGGGUGGCAGUAAGUUUCAACGGAGGUGAUGAACCAAAUGGAACCAGUGGGAUAGUGCUGGUGGUCAUUCAUGAUGCUCAGCUGGAGAAUAACUUCAGUAGAUGGAAGAUCUUGUGAUUGGUGGGAGAAUCUAUAAUUGCACUAUCAGCAGUAAGAGGACCACAUUCUCCUACUCUACAGCCAUGGAAAAUGAAUUUUCAAGCAGCCAAGAGAGUGGGCAUCUAACAUCUGAACAUACCAAGAGUCAACCUGUGAACUCAGAGAAACCCCUUACUAAGGGCGAUUUGCACAUGUGGAAUCAUCACAAAGGAAGAAUGAAGGUUGAUGGCAAUUUUGAGGGACUGUGAGCACAGUGACUCCUAGAAGUUAAUAGUGAUCAAAAUUCCUGCUUGGAAAACCUCUGAAGGAUUUGGAGAGGAACGCUGAAAGGAUACAUCUCGUCUGUAGUCUGCAAAUGGGAGUCUCAGAAGCCUGUCACUGUGAUUACAGAAUCUUCCAUUCUGUCUAAGGCCCUAGGAGUCUUACUAUGGGCUUUGUAUAUGCUGACCCAUUUUCUUUGCAACUGGAGUUAAGGGCAUUUCCUUUACCCCUCAUGUCUUCUCCAUAGCAUCCCAUUUGGAUACACUUCAUUCCUUUUUAAUUUUUAGCAAUUUUAGAUAAAGACUCACAAUACAUGUUCACAUUAUUAGUGAAAGUCCAUUUGCCACAACAAGUCUCCUCCUCCCCCCACAUGUGUGGGGCAGGAAUGGGGACAGAAAUACAAGGACAAAAAGCAGACAUUGAAAUGAAAUGGUUAGUGGAAUCUAAGUAAGAUACAACACACCCAACAUAUGAGAAAGGUUUGUGAUUUUAAAUAUUUUAAAGUACAUAAAGACACAGUGAACAAAAAAAUAUCAGGAUACUUGUCUGGUCAGAUCUUCAAUAUCAAACCUUUCAGAGAAAUUGCAAUUGGUCAGUAACUUUAUGAUUUCUAAAGAAGCAGACAGUUCCUUGAGGGUUAAUGUCAUGUCUGAUAACUCCUGUUCCCAAAGUUGGAGCUACUUCUGUGAUCAGAACCUGCUAUUAAAUAAACAAGAAUGUUCCAGCCUAUUAUGUGUAAUAAUAUUUGAACUAUAGCCUUGGAGUUCUAUUUUCCUGAGAUGAUAAAUGAACAAUUUGUUCUCAGAAACACUAGUGAAAUUAUGUGUUGGCAGGAAAAGGAGAGAAAGUGGACGCAUAAUGGGAUAGGGAUGCCUGAGAACGUAGGAUGUCAGUAGAGAGCUAAAUCUGAGCAGGAAUAAAGGACCUAUAAGACUCCAUGGUAGAAUAUCAAACAUAACUUUUUGACAGAGGAAAGGACACUGAAAAACAUGGUAGCAGCCACAUGUGUGGGGCAGGAAUGGGGACAGAAAUACAAGGGCAAAAAGUGGGUAUUGAAAUGAAAUGGUUAGUGGAAUCUGAAGAAGACACAACACACCCAAGAUAUGAGAAAGGUUUGUGACAUGAAGAGUGUCAAGGAGAUAGAGAUCAUGUUGCAGUAGAAAUCUGUGGCAUAGGCAACAGGACAAAGACUUGAUGUAAAUACUUACAAGGGAAACUAAGAGACCAGGACGGUGGAGAUGGCCAGGUGAGUAAGAUGACUUUCUGCACCAGGAUGAGGAUCUGAGUUUAAUCUCAUCAGCAUUGUAAAAGACAGACUUAUUUGCAUGUGAGAGGGGAGAGAAGGUGGGUUAUUAGUCUACCUCCAGGUUAAGUGAGAGACCCUGCCUCAAAGGAAUGAGGUAGAGAAUGAGGUGACAUCAGACAUACUCCUUUAGCCAGUAUGUAUGCAUAGGCACCUGUGCACAUAGUUCACACACACACACACACACACACACACACACACACACAGAGAGAGAGAGAGAGAGAGAGAGAGAGAGAGAGAGACUUUUCCACACAUAUACAUAGAGAGAUAACCAAGGAAUGGAAAAGAGAAUGUCUUAGGUAAAGUACAAAGUACAAAAGAGAAUUGGC
rnacentral:lncRNA from 1 species